AUUGAACGCUGGCGGCAUGCUUUACACAUGCAAGUCGAACGGUAACAGGGUGCUUGCACCGCUGACGAGUGGCGAACGGGUGAGUAAUGCGUCGGAACGUGCCGAGUAGUGGGGGAUAACGCAGCGAAAGUUGUGCUAAUACCGCAUACGUACUGAGGUAGAAAGUGGGGGACCUUCGGGCCUCACGCUAUUCGAGCGGCCGACGUCUGAUUAGCUAGUAGGUGAGGUAAAGGCUCACUUAGGCGACGAUCAGUAGCGGGUCUGAGAGGAUGAUCGGCCACAGUGGGACUGAGACACGGCCCAGACUCCUACGGGAGGCAGCAGGGGGGAAUUUUGGACAAUGAGCGAAAGCCUGAUCCAGCCAUGCCGCGUGUCUGAAGAAGGCCUUCGGGUUGUAAAGGACUUUUGUCAGGGAGGAAAUCCCUAGUGCUAAUAACACUGGGGGAUGACAGUACCUGAAGAAUAAGCACCGGCUAACUACGUGCCAGCAGCCGCAGUAA
rnacentral:rRNA from 1 species